AUGGUGGCUGCACAGUGGGACAUCACCUGCAUUGUGCAUGCUGUGUGCAUCACCUUGCAUCUGCAACCUUUGGUCUGCGUUUUGCAUCGUUCCUCCUGCAUCCCAGUACUCUUCAGUCUGCACUGUGCACCCUGCAGCCGGUGUCUCCUGAACCCUGCAGCCUUCAUCCUACAACCUUCAUCCUGCAACCCACAUCCUUCAUCCCUACGUCCUUCAUCCUAUAUCCUACAUCCUUCAUCCUGCAUCCUAUGCCCUGCAUCCUCUUGCAUCCUUCAUUCUUCCUCCUGCAUCCCAGCAUCCUUCAGUCUGCAGUACACACCCUGCAGCCUGCAUCUUCCAUCCUGCACUUUGCAUCCUUCACCCUGCGUCUUGCAUCCUCGCAUCCUCCAUCCUCGCAUCCUCACAUCCUUGCAUCCUUCAUCCUCCAUCCUAGCAUCCUUCAUUCUGUAUCCUACAUCCUUCAUCCUGCAUCUUGCGUCCUACAUCCUUUCAGCUUCCAUCCUGCAUCAUCCAUCCUUGCAUCCGGCACCCUGCACACUCCACCCUGCAUCCUUCAUCUUACAUCCUGCAUCCUUUUCCCCUGCACCCUGCAUCCGCGCACUGCAUCAUUUCUCCCACACCUCUGCAGCCUCUGGGACGUGCAGGGCUGCACCCCAGGGACGAGCUGUGCAUCGCAACGGGAACGAGGGGCGGGGAGGAGGCGGGGACGGGGGCGGGACGUGCGGGGUCCCGUUGGUAGCCACGAGGUGGUGCUGGCAGCACGCGCCCCGCGUCCUCCUGCAGAACGCAACCCUUCAUCCUGCACCCUUCAUCCUGCACCUUUCACCAUGCACCCCCUCCAUCCUGUGCCUUUCACUAUGCACCCUCCACCCUACAUCCUUCACCGUGCAUCCUGCACCCUGCAUCAUGAGUUGGACGUGCUGCACCUUUCGUCCUUCACCCUGCAGCCUUCGGUCUGCACCCUUAAGUCUGCACUGUGCACCCUGCAGCCUGCAUCUUUCGUCCUGCACUUUACAGUCUGCAUCCUGCAGCACUCAUCCUGCAACCUCAGCAUGCACAAUACGUCCUGCACCCUUUACCUCAUGUCCUGCAUCCUGCACUGUCUCACGCAUCCUUCAUUCUGCACCCUUCACUAAUCAUCCUGCUCCCCACACGUUGUGUCCCACAUCCCUACAUCCUUCACCCUGCACCUUUCACAGUACAUCCUGCACCCUUCAUCCUGCACCCUGCAUCGUGUCUGCUGCACCCUGCAUCUUGCAUCCUGCACCCUGCAUCAUCUAUCCUGCAUCCUCACCAUGCACAAUCCUUCCUGCAUCCUUCACCUUGCAUCAAGCACCAUGUUAUGCAUUCUUCACCCUACACCCUUCAUCCUUGCCCCUUCACCACUCAGCCUGCACCCCAUACUUUGCCACCUGCGCUCUGCAACCUUUCUGCAUCCCCCAGGUGUGUUGGGCUGUGUGA
rnacentral:lncRNA from 1 species